rnacentral:rRNA from 1 species
CGCGUAGGCGGUACCUUAAGUCAGAUGUGAAAACCCGAGGCUCAACUUCGGAGGUGCAUUUGAAACUGGGGAACUUGAGUGCAGGAGAGGAAAGCGGAAUUCCUAGUGUAGCGGUGAAAUGCGUAGAUAUUAGGAGGAACACCAGUGGCGAAGGCGGCUUUCUGGACUGUAACUGACGCUGAGGCGCGAAAGCGUGGGGAGCAAACAGGAUUAGAUACCCUGGUAGUCCACGCUGUAAACGAUGGAUACUAGGUGUGGGAGGUAUCGACCCCUUCCGUGCCGCAGUAACGCAAUAAGUAUCCCGCCGUGGGGAGUACGGCCGCAAGGUUGAA